rnacentral:sRNA from 1 species
UUGACAGCACUAGAAAUUGAAGUUCCUUUUUUAUCUACAAAACAGGUACAACAUGUACAGAGGCACCCAGGCUGCUGAUGUGUCUCAGGUCUGUCCUAGGCUUAACAACCUGGAAGGAAGAGUGAAUAAGCUGAUCCUUGUGGUCUUGUUAGGCCGUGCUGUGCU